rnacentral:rRNA from 1 species
UACGUAGGGUGCGAGCGUUGCCCGGAUUUAUUGGGCGUAAAGGGCGCGUAGGCGGUCACGCACGUCCGUUGUGAAAUCGCUCGGCUCAACUGGGCGAGGUCAGCGGAUACGGUGUGACUGGAGCAAGGCUAGGGGGCAAUGGAAUUCCCGGUGUAGUGGUGGAAUGCGUAGAUAUCGGGAGGAACACCAGUGGCGAAGGCGGUUGCCUGGAGCUUUGCUGACGCUGAUGCGCGAAAGCGUGGGGAGCGAUCCGG